rnacentral:rRNA from 1 species
AUUGAACGCUGGCGGCAGGCCUAACACAUGCAAGUCGAACGGUAACAGGAAGAAGCUUGCUUCUUUGCUGACGAGUGGCGGACGGGUGAGUAAUGUCUGGGAAACUGCCUGAUGGAGGGGGAUAACUACUGGAAACGGUAGCUAAUACCGCAUAACGUCGCAAGACCAAAGAGGGGGACCUUCGGGCCUCUUGCCAUCGGAUGUGCCCAGAUGGGAUUAGCUAGUAGGUGGGGUAACGGCUCACCUAGGGACGAUCCCUAGCUGGUCUGAGAGGAUGACCAGCCACACUGGAACUGAGACACGGUCCAGACUCCUACGGGAGGCAGCAGUGGGGAAUAUUGCACAAUGGGCGCAAGCCUGAUGCAGCCAUGCCGCGUGUAUGAAGAAGGCCUUCGGGUUGUAAAGUACUUUCAGCGGGGAGGAAGGGAGUAAAGUUAAUACCUUUGCUCAUUGACGUUACCCGCAGAAGAAGCACCGGCUAACUCCGUG